rnacentral:rRNA from 1 species
AUUGAACGCUGGCGGCAGGCCUAACACAUGCAAGUCGAGCGGAUGAAGGGUGCUUGCUCCUGGAUCCAGCGUCGGACGGGUGAGUAAUGCCUAGGAAUCUGCCUGGCAGUGGGGGAUAACGUCCGGAAACGGGCGCUAAUACCGCAUACGUCCUGCGGGAGCUAGUGGGUGAUGUUCGGACCUCACGCUAGCAGAUGAGCGUAGGUCGGAUUAGCUAGUUGGUGGGGUAAAGGCCUACCAAGGCGACGAUUCGCAACUGGACUGAGAGGAUGAUCAGUCACACUGGAACUGAGACACGGUCCAGGCGCCUACGAGACGCAGCAGUGGGGAAUGUUGGACAAUGGUCGAGAGCCUGAUACAGCCAGGCCGAGUGUGAGAAAGAGGUGCUCGGAUUGUGAAGCACUUUUAGGUGGGAGAAAGGGCAGUAGGUUAAGACCUUGCUGUUUUGACGUUACCGGGAGAAUAAGCACCGGCUAACUUCGUG